AAUUAUGGCCCACAGGCCAAACCUGUCCCACUACCUUUUUUUUCUUUUUUCUUUUUUUUUUUUUGUCGAUAAAGUUUUAUUGGAACAUAACUUAUACCCAUUCUCUUACAGAUUCUCUAUGGCCGCUUCCACACUUCAACAGCAGAGCACUCUCUCAACCAAGACCUGUGGAAUCAUUUCAAAGCAGCCUUCUUAAGACCCAUCCCAGCCACUGUGGCUCCAAAAGCUUAAGAAAUGCCUCGGGUAACAGGGGCAAGAAGGUCGGUGAUAUGUUUGUGAUCCUCUCUCCCGAUGCUGGGCAGGGGGAGUGAGCCCCAGCUUCUAGUCAGCCAGGCGAACGCAAAGGUAUAAAACCAACACACUUACAGCCAUUCUGUACCCACACAACCAUUCUGUUUUUCACUUUCAGCACAGUAUUCAAGAAAUGUGUGAUUUAUCAGGUUUUCAACACUUUGUUAUAAAAUAGGCUUUGUGUUAGAUGAGUUUGCCCAACCGCAGGCUAAUUAAGUGUUCUGGUCAUAUGUGAGGUAGGCUAGGCUAAGCUAUGAUGUUCAGAAGUUUAGGUGUGUUAAAUGCAUUUUCAACUUAAGAAAUUUUCAAUUUACCAUGGGUUUAUCAGGAUGUAACCCCAUUGUAAGUCAAGGAAUAUCUGUACAUAGUACCGUGAUUAAAGACAACAGGACUGUACUAUAAUCAUUAAACUUGCUAAGAGACUAGAUCUGAAUUGUUCUCAACACUAGAAGAAAUGAUAAUUAUGUGAUGCAAUAGAGGCAUUAGCUAACAUUACAACGGCAAUCAUACUGCAAUAUAAAUGCAUCAAAUCAGCAAGUUAUAUACCUUAAGCUUACACAAAAUAUUGUAUGUCAGAUAGACCUCAAUUUUUUUUUAAAGAAAAUAUCCCAGAGCUGACACAGGUGAGACAGGCUCACCCCAAAGCACAUCAUUAUGGAAUUUCAGAGCACCGAGGACUAACAGAAGACCCUACCAGCGUCCAAAGAAAGGAAAACAAAAUCACUUAUAAAGGAUCUGGAGUCAGGAUGACUUCUGACUUCUCCCCCGCGACUCUGGAAGCCAGCAGACAAUGGAGCAAUGUCUUCAAAAUACUUAGGGACAAUGAUUUCUGACCUAGAAAUCUUGACUGUUGUUAAAGGCACUUGUUCUCCCUGCACACCCACGUGAGAGCUCACCGUGGCAGGACGUUCCCCUCCAAACUCAGUCACUGCUGUACGACUGUCACAAUUUUGGUCAUAACCACAAACUGCUUGUGUUAUUUUUUUAACUGAUUUCUUUUUCUUAAAUUGAGUCACUUUUUUGUUACUUUUAUCACUUGUGAUAAGUA